rnacentral:lncRNA from 1 species
GUUCCCGCCCGUGCCGGAAGCCUCGGCGCGGCAGCGCGACACGAGGCUCCCCAGACCCAGCCGGGCAGUGCCGCUAGCGAGGCGGGCAGAGCUGCCCGGGUGGCACCCCGCGCACCCUGUGUUCCGGAGGCACCGUGAAGAAGCCCUCCUUACGAAUACACUUCAGACGGAUCUGCUCGCACUCCAGAUCUGGCUCCGCCAUGCCGAGCGCUGGCCCCGCCUCUCUUGCGCGCAGGCGCAGACGCGGACGGCCCCGCGGCGCAGGCGCGAAAGCUCCUUCCCGGGCUUCCUCUCCUUAGCAACGGUUACCAAGAGACGCUCCCGCGGGUCCGCCCUAGGCGCUGGGCUCCAGGGAUCGGCUCCGACUGCUGCAGUUCGGGCCUUAUUUUAGGGUGAAGCCCGGGCAGCCGACCCGGCUGCGCCGUAGUGGGAGGCCACGGCGAUUACCCAGGUGAAGGUCUUCCAGGACCCACUGACUGAUGAUGGCUCCACCUGGACCUGCCAACUACUCCUGCAGCCCCACCCAGAAGCGGUUCAGCACACGGGAGGAUCCUGUCUCACACCCUACGAUGGCCCCCCGCCCCCACAACCCAUCAGCAGCAAGCACCCACUGCCAAGCUACCCCACCCCUUCCCCCAAACUACCUUUGGAACACCCUAGUCCCCAAAUUCUUGGGGAGACUGAUUUCAGUAAUCAUCAAAUUCUGGUCUCCCAUUCACUUGUCUCUGUGUGAAUUAAACCCUUUCUCUAUUGCA